GCAUUUCAGCGCGAAUCUUGGCAUCUACCUCAUUCUUCCCUUUUCGUUUGCAGAGAUAUCCUUGCAAAAGGUCCUACAAAGCCUAAUUCUGUUGAGGAAUACCUGAAGGACUUCAUCCAGGACCUGAAGCAUGUAACUCAGCAUGCCCCUCUUCAGCAUUGUGGAGUUCAGAGAGGAAGUGUCAAGUGAAGGAAGGGCUCUUGUGGAUAUUAUUCCAUCAUGUUGGUUCACUGAUGAGGACAAGACGGACUGUUUUUGGCCAGCAGGCCACAAUCUUAAUAUCACCAAGGCAGUGAAACAGCGGCAAAGACCAGAUGCUUCAUGGGGGACAUACAGUGUGCGUGCACUUGGACAUGCAGACACAUAUGAGGAUGCUCGACGCAAG